rnacentral:lncRNA from 1 species
AUUAAUGACCACAAUUUAACAUUAAAAUCUCUGAUUAAAUAUAAAUUAAAUUGUUCAUUAAUGUAUAGGUACAAAAAAGUGAAGAAAUAAGUGAAUGUGUCGUAAAAAAAGGAGCAUUAAAAAUCCAUCGUAUUCUUCAAAAAUUGUAUCUUCUUCUUCUUCAAACUCAUAGUCUUCUGCCUUAAAUUAUUAUCAAAACACAAGAAAAUAAACAUCAUUCAUUUCCUCAAAAUAGAAAAAAAAAAAAAAGUUACUUCGAUUCAUCUUGGAUUUCAUAUUGCGUGCGAUUGAUUUGUUUUUCACGUGUAAUUGGGUUCAACAUAAACUAAUUCGCACACGAACAAAAAUCAAUUCGCACAUAAAUACAAACUAUUAUGCACACACAAAAAUUAAUUGGCACACAAAUAAAAACUAAUUCGCACAUAAAUAUAAACUAUAUGCAC